CUGUCUCUGUUCCUCCCCCACUCAUGCUUGCUUUCUCUCUCAAAAAUAAAUAAACAUAAAAAAGAACUGAAAAAUCCAAUAAAUGAACUUUUAAAAAACCUCAGUAGAUUACUUCAACAGCAGAACAAUAUGAUGUAAGAAUGAAUCAAUGAACUCUAAGAUAGAGCACAUUAAUGGCUGCUAAGGGUUAAGGAUAGUGGAGGGAAGGAUGAUGAGUGUGAGUGUAAAGGGGUAGUACAGGGAAAUCUGUGGGGGUGGAAUAGUUCUGUAUCUUGACUGCUGUGGUGAUUACUAUAGAAACCUCCACAUGUGAUAGAAUUAGACAUGUAUAUCAUACCAAUGCCAAUUUCUUGAAUUUGAUAUUGUAUUAUAGUUAUAACUGUGCCCAUUGGGGAAAGUGGCUGAAGGGGUACUCUUUACUAUCUUUGCAAUUUCUUGUGAAUCUAUCAUUAUUUCAAAAAGUUUAAAAAAAUAGAGUAGAAUUGAUAAAAUAAUUUGUUAAGAGCAUCUGGCCCAGCCGUAUUUCAAAAAUCAUGCCAUGAGUAUUAGCUGGUGGCUCCCAUUACUGCUACCACUGACACUGGAUACUAGAUGCUGCCCUUGACCCUGCUACCAAUGCCACUCCUAGAAACUGGAUUUUCUUGUGGCUACAGAUAUGGCAUUGAAUUCCAUCAUUGCAUCUUUGAAUCACUCCUUACAGACUAAGUGUUAGGUUGGAGUUGUGACUAUUUAUGCAGUAAAAGAAUUGACUCCACAGGUGUGUGGGGUAUACAAACCCUGGCAUUCCAAAGCAAAAUUGUCUGUACAUUCCAAAUAAAGGUCUGGCUCUUGACAAGCUCCUGGGGGAUAAACCUCUAAGUUUGUAAUAUCCUGCCUGAUUAGACUUUUUGUUCACCUGGGGCUUGGGCCACACCAGAUAGUUUACGUUAACAAUGUAAUUUAUAGUGGGCCUUGGCCCUUGUGGUAUUAUAUAUUGGCUUGUGACCUUGUGGUACCUCUGCACAGGCUGGAGACUGAGUAACUAAGGUCAGCCACACAAGUGUCCCAUGCCUACCUGACCCCCGCCCCCUUAAAAUCCCAGCUCAGGCAAACUUCCCUGGUUGCCACAUACCUCACUGGGAGAUUUGAGCAUGGGCCAUACAACUCCACUGAGAAAAGACAACUGGAAUCUUAUGCCUGGUUUCUCAUGGAGUCUUUCCUGUGCACUUUUUAGUUUUGUUGAUUUAAAAUCAGUAUCCUUUCACUGUAAUAAAUAAAUAAAAAUUUCAAGACCCUACCACAGUGGUAAAUCCUACACCACGUUCUCUUGGCUGUUGAGAGAAUGUGAAAAAGUGAAUAUCUGGCCUUUAUGUCGAACUGUUAUGUAAUAUAAAUUAUAUACAUAGUAUUUCCUUACUAAAAUGUGAAAAAAUAAUUGAAAUAUAUCUAGUCCUAAGGGUUUUCAAUAAGCAUCUGUAAGGCUGUAUAAAGAAGUCCAAAAAAUAAGACAGACAAUACAAAAUAAAUAGGUAAAAGACUUGCACAGUUACUUUACAAAAGAAAUCUAAUCAGUCCACUAAUAUAUGAAUAUGUGUUUCACUGCUUACAUGAGAAAUGUAAAUUAAAACCAGAGGAGAUACCAAUAAAAUACACAUCACAUUGGCAAAAAGUUGGAAAAGUCUUCAUAUUACCAAGCACUGUAGAGUAUGCCAGUCUUUCUCCCGGGCAUCUGGUCACAGGAAUGAAAAACAUUAAACAUAAAAUACAAGAAUAUAUGUAACAAAUAUCUAAUUGCAAUGUUUGUAUGUAUGUGCCCCUGAAACCUGAAACUAGAAUGACCAUCAGUGGGGAAAUGGUUGACUACAUUGGAGUACAUCCCUGUCAUGGAAUAUUAUGCAGCAAUGUAAAAGAAUGAAUUUGGUAGAUUAGCAUUAACUAAUAAAAUAACUCUGAUGCAUUUAAAGUGUAUAUGAUCUUAAUUUUGUAAAACAGUAAAAAAUGGCUUUUUGACCAUGGAAAAAUAUAAAAAUGGCUGUUAAAAUGUAUGUUUGGCAGAUGAAGGUAGAGGUGAAAGGAAUGGGAGGCAAUAAGCAAAAGAAUGCAAUUUAAAACAUUUAUAGCAUACAUAUCCCAUUUAUGUAAAUAUAUACGCAUGGAGUGUUACAUGAAAAGGUAGCAUCAAAAUCUUAAUAGCAGUUAUCUCAGGGUGGUGCCAUUGGGAGUGAUGUUUACUUAAUUUCUAAAAUAUUUGAGUAAUGUUUAAAUUUUUAAUGACAAAUAUGCAUUAUUUGUAUAAUGAGGAAAAGUAAGUGAAUUCAUCACAGGAAAGAAAAAAAAUGCCUCUCAGAUUUCUUGCUUGAGCAACAGGGUGGAUGGUGGGAUUUAUUCAUUCAUUAACAAACAUUUUUUAGCAUACAAAAUAUACCAGUUAUCAUUGUAGAUACAGGGGAUACAGCAACGAAUAAAACAAAAAUUCAUCUCCCUAAAAGGCUUUUAUUCUAAUUGAGAGAGUGGCAUGACUAAAGGAGAAACACACUGUGUUUGAGGAAGAGGAUAUAUGCAAAGGAAUCAGUUUGAGACCUGUUCAAUUUGAAAAUAUUAAGGGUUAUCCAAUUGCAGAAGUGAGGCAGACAGUUGGAUUAUGGAUCUAGAAUUCAUAGGCCAAGUCAAGACUGGACAUACAGAUACAGAAGCAGAUAGCAUUCAAAAUGGUGUUUCAGACCUUCUUUCCUGAGUCUGAUCACGUACCACUGCAGACACUUUACAGAGGAAGUGCUGAGAAAAAACAGGCAGCUGACAGGGGAGGUUGCUAUGCAACAGAUGAGGAAAGUCAUCCAGCCAGGCAGAAUUGAUGUUGGCCUUUGGGGACCAAAUGCUGCCAUCCUUUCUAGCAUUAGCUUUCUUUCAUAUGCAGACUCCUGGCUGGAGCUGAUGCCAGAACAAAUGUGAAAUGUACAAAGAUCUGCCUUGGAUUUUUGGAAAGUUAUCAGUUCAAUUUGAGUCAUUUCACAUCUGUAUAUGAUUUUCUGACUCUCCAGUCAUCUGGAAGCAUAGCAGCAUGUGUGUCCUUGGGUCGGACUCCAGUCAGUGCUAUUUGUGCUUCCCAUUUUGCAUGUUGAGAAGCUGGCUCAGAGAAGUGGAAUGACCUGAGCAGGCUCACACAGCUAUGGAUAGAAUGGCACAGCAGUCCAUCCCAGGAAUUGAGGACCCAAGCCUGUAAAGAACCAGGGUAAACAUUUACUCUGAAUCCAGGCUUGCCAUGGGUCAGGCACACAAAUGCCUGAUUGUCCUGGCCGCUCCAGUGGGCACCAGCAAGGCCUCAUGGGCAGUGUGUUUGUGCCACUCACAGGGAGAGGCCUGACAGAGUAGGGAGUGAAUCCUGAAGAACAAUCCCCACACCUGGAUGGAACCACAUAAAGGGGGUGGGGACUAAGGGCCUCUACCUGUGUUCUGUGUGCAGAGCAUGAGCUUAAGUCUUGGAGAACACAAACCUUGCUUCUUUGGGGCAGGUGUUGACAGGGCAGGGAGUGUGUGUGUGUGUGUGUGUGUGUGUGUGUGUGUGAAAGAGAGAGAGAGAGAGAGAAAUCUGUCACUCAACCUGAAGAGGGGAGGGUGCCUCAGUUCCCAGGCCAAAACUAGUGGAACGUGGGUUUUGGAGUCAAGAAGGCCCUGGCCCACGUUUUACAUUUUCUGUUUAUUGGCUCUAUAGCCUUGUCUAGUUUAUACAGUGUAUCUGUGCUUUAGCUUCCUGACCUAUAAAAUAGGGAUGCUGACACCCACCUCCCAGGGCUGCUGUGAGAAGACAAGCCCCAGCACAGACUGUGCUCUGCCGCGCUGGCAUUUUCUCCUGGACAAGGAGAGGGUGCGGCUGCCGAGAGCCGAUCACUGCAAUCCCGAUCCUCUGAGUCGUGAAGAAGGGAGGCAACGAGGGGGUUGGGGUUGGGGCCUGAGGCAAGGUGAGAAUUAGCCCCCAGACAGGGCAUCUGCCCCCUGGUGCGGGCCCCCCAUUUUUCAUUUCGAUCCCUUUACCCCGGAUUCUGAUUCCCCUUCCACUCCCCGAACCCCGAUUCACACCCCUUACCCGACCCUCCUUUAC